GGACCCGCACAAGUAGUGGAGCAUGUGGUUUAAUUCGAAGAUACGCGCAGAACCUUACCAACACUUGACAUGUUCGUCGCGACUCUAAGAGAUUAGAGUUUUCGGUUCGGCCGGACGAAACACAGGUGCUGCAUGGCUGUCGUCAGCUCGUGUCGUGAGAUGUUGGGUUAAGUCCCGCAACGAGCGCAACCCUCACUUUUAGUUGCCAUCAUUAAGUUGGGCACUCUGAAAGAACUGCCAGUGAUAAGCUGGAGGAAGGUGGGGAUGACGUCAAGUCCUCAUGGCCCUUACGUGUUGGGCUACACACGUGCUACAAUGGUAUCUACAACAGGAAGCAAAACAGCGAUGUUAAGCAAAUCCUUAAAAGAUACCUCAGUUCGGAUUGCACUCUGCAACUCGAGUGCAUGAAGCUGGAAUUACUAGUAAUCGCAGGUC
rnacentral:rRNA from 1 species